CCGAGUUUACAACUCCCAAACCCCUGUGAACAUACCACUUGUUGCCUCGGCGGAUCGGCCCGCUCCCGGUAAAACGGGACGGCCCGCCAGAGGACCCCUAAACUCUGUUUCUAUAUGUAACUUCUGAGUAAAACCAUAAAUAAAUCA
rnacentral:misc_RNA from 1 species